rnacentral:rRNA from 1 species
ACCGGCAGCUCAAGUGGUAGCCGCUAUUAUUGGGCCUAAAGCGUUCGUAGCCGGAUAAGUAAGUCUUUGGUUAAAUCCUGCAACUUAACUGUGGGAAAUCUAGGGAUACUGCUUGUCUUGAGACCGGGAGAGGUUAGAGGUACUCCUAGGGUAGGGGUGAAAUCCUGUAAUCCUAGGGGGACCACCUGUGGCGAAGGCGUCUAACUGGAACGGGUCUGACGGUGAGGGACGAAACCUAGGGGAGCGAGCCG